rnacentral:rRNA from 1 species
UACGGAGGAUCCGAGCGUUAUCCGGAUUUACUGGGUUUAAAGGGUGCGUAGGCGGGCGCUUAAGUCAGCGGUGAAAGGCAGCGGCUCAACCGUUGGACUGCCGUUGAAACUGGGCGCCUUGAAUUCGGUCGAGGCUGGCGGAAUGCGUGGUGUAGCGGUGAAAUGCUUAGAUAUCACGCGGAACGCCGAUUGCGAAGGCAGCUGGCCAGGCCUGGAUUGACGCUGAGGCACGAAAGCGUGGGGAU